rnacentral:rRNA from 1 species
GAUGAACGCUAGCGGCAGGCCUAACACAUGCAAGUCGAGGGGUAACUAGAGUGAUAGCAAUAUUACUUUGGCUAGACCGGCGCACGGGUGCGUAACACGUAUGCAACCUACCUUAUACUGGGGAAUAACUUCGAGAAAUCGGCGCUAAUACCCCAUAACACUGCGGAGAGGCAUCUCUUUGCAGUUAAAGCUCCGGCGGUAUAAGAUGGGCAUGCGUCCAAUUAGCUAGUUGGUGAGGUAACGGCUCACCAAGGCUACGAUUGGUAGGGGUUCUGAGAGGAUGAUCCCCCACACUGGUACUGAGACACGGACCAGACUCCUACGGGAGGCAGCAGUGAGGAAUAUUGCGCAAUGGACGAAAGUCUGACGCAGCCAUGCCGCGUGCAGGAUGACGGCCCUAUGGGUUGUAAACUGCUUUUGUACGGGAAUAAACCCUUCUACGUGUAGGAGGCUGAAGGUACCGUAAGAAUAAGCACCGGCUAACUCCGUGCCAGCAGCCGCGGUAAGAC